rnacentral:rRNA from 1 species
UACGAAGGACCCGAGCGUUAUCCGGAUUUAUUGGGUUUAAAGGGAGCGUAGGCGGCCCAUUAAGUCAGAGGUGAAAGACGGUAGCUCAACUAUCGCAGUGCCUUUGAUACUGAUGGGCUUGAAUACAGAUGAGGUAGGCGGAAUGUGACAAGUAGCGGUGAAAUGCAUAGAUAUGUCACAGAACACCGAUUGCGAAGGCAGCUUACUAAACUGUGAUUGACGCUGAGGCUCGAAAGCGUGGGGAUCAAACAGG